UGGGAAAAUAUUAAAUGGAGUUAUAAAUUUGUGAAAGUAAUCAUUUAGAUUUUAUUUUCCUUUAAUGAAAAAUUUCA